UGGAACUGAAAACUCAGAGGAGGCAUC
rnacentral:piRNA from 1 species